CCUGUAAUCCCAGUGGCUCAAAAGGAUGAGACAGGAGGAUCACAAGUUGCCAGCCUCAGCAACACAGGGAGACCCUACAAAAAAGGUUGGAAAUGUGACUCAGUAGUAGAGUGCCCUGGGUUCAGUCCCCUUAUUGUUAAGCCCCCCACCUAAAUUCACUUACAGUGAUCAAAAUUUGAACCAAGAAACUUAAAAGUUGUUAUAGAUAAGAAAUUUAGGUAAACGGACUCAAUGAUUGCAGUAAAAAUUCUCAAAUUAGGCAAUAGGCAACAAUUUUAUUUUUAGUACUAUCAUUUAGAGAAGACUGUUUCUAUUUUUGUUUUGAGAAGGGUUCUUGCUACCUUGCCAAGGCUGUCCUCAGAAUCCUGGGCUCAAGGGCUGGGGUUGUGGCUCAGU
rnacentral:lncRNA from 1 species